AUUGAACGCUGGCGGCAUGCCUAACACAUGCAAGUCGAACGAGUGGCGGACGGGUGAGUAAUGACUGGGAAACUGCCUGAUGGAGGGGGAUAAAUACUGGAAACGGUAGCUAAUACCGCAUACCAUCAGAUGUGCCCAGAUGGGAUUAGCUAGUGGGGGGGGUAAAGGAUCAACAAGGCGACGAUCCCUAGCUGGUCUGAGAGGAUGACCAGCGACACUGGACCUGAGACACUGUCCAGACUCCUACGUGAGGCAGGAGUGGGGAAUAUUGCACAAUGGGCGCAAGCCUGAUACAGCAAUGCCGCGUGUAUGAAGAAGGCCUUCGGGUUGUAAAGUACUUUCAGCGGGGCGGCGUUACCCGCAGAAGAAGCACCGGCUAACUCCGUGCCAGCAGCCGCGGUAAUUC
rnacentral:rRNA from 1 species